rnacentral:rRNA from 1 species
GGAAGGCCCAGACAGCCAGGAUGUUGGCUUAGAAGCAGCCAUCAUUUAAAGAAAGCGUAAUAGCUCACUGGUCGAGUCGGCCUGCGCGGAAGAUGUAACGGGGCUAAACCAUGCACCGAAGCUGCGGCAGCGACACUGUGUGUUGUUGGGUAGGGGAGCGUUCUGUAAGCCUGUGAAGGUGUGCUGUGAGGCAUGCUGGAGGUAUCAGAAGUGCGAAUGCUGACAUAAGUAACGAUAAAGCGGGUGAAAAGCCCGCUCGCCGGAAGACCAAGGGUUCCUGUCCAACGUUAAUCGGGGCAGGGUGAGUCGACCCCUAAGGCGAGGCCGAAAGGCGUAGUCGAUGGGAAACGGGUUAAUAUUCCCGUACUUGGUGUUACUGCGAAGGGGGGACGGAGAAGGCUAUGUUGGCCGGGCGACGGUUGUCCCGGUUUAAGCGUGUAGGUGUGUGUUCCAGGUAAAUCCGGUUCACUUUAACACUGAGGCGUGAUGACGAGGCACUACGGUGCUGAAGCAACAAAUGCCCUGCUUCCAGGAAAAGCCUCUAAGCAUCAGGUAACAUCAAAUCGUACCCCAAACCGACACAGGUGGUCAGGUAGAGAAUACCAAGGCGCUUGAGAGAACUCGGGUGAAGGAACUAGGCAAAAUGGUGCCGUAACUUCGGGAGAAGGCACGCUGACAUGUAGGUGAAGUGAUUUACUCACGGAGCUGAAGUCAGUCGAAGAUACCAGCUGGCUGCAACUGUUUAUUAAAAACACAGCACUGUGCAAACACGAAAGUGGACGUAUACGGUGUGACGCCUGCCCGGUGCCGGAAGGUUAAUUGAUGGGGUCAGCGCAAGCGAAGCUCCUGAUCGAAGCCCCGGUAAACGGCGGCCGUAACUAUAACGGUCCUAAGGUAGCGAAAUUCCUUGUCGGGUAAGUUCCGACCUGCACGAAUGGCGUAAUGAUGGCCAGGCUGUCUCCACCCGAGACUCAGUGAAAUUGAACUCGCUGUGAAGAUGCAGUGUACCCGCGGCAAGACGGAAAGACCCCGUGAACCUUUACUAUAGCUUGACACUGAACAUUGAGCCUUGAUGUGUAGGAUAGGUGGGAGGCUUUGAAGUGUGGACGCCAGUCUGCAUGGAGCCGACCUUGAAAUACCACCCUUUAAUGUUUGAUGUUCUAACGUGGACCCGUUACCCGGGUUGCGGACAGUGUCUGGUGGGUAGUUUGACUGGGGCGGUCUCCUCCUAAAGAGUAACGGAGGAGCACGAAGGUUGGCUAAUCCUGGUCGGACAUCAGGAGGUUAGUGCAAUGGCAUAAGCCAGCUUGACUGCGAGCGUGACGGCGCGAGCAGGUGCGAAAGCAGGUCAUAGUGAUCCGGUGGUUCUGAAUGGAAGGGCCAUCGCUCAACGGAUAAAAGGUACUCCGGGGAUAACAGGCUGAUACCGCCCAAGAGUUCAUAUCGACGGCGGUGUUUGGCACCUCGAUGUCGGCUCAUCACAUCCUGGGGCUGAAGUAGGUCCCAAGGGUAUGGCUGUUCGCCAUUUAAAGUGGUACGCGAGCUGGGUUUAGAACGUCGUGAGACAGUUCGGUCCCUAUCUGCCGUGGGCGCUGGAGAACUGAGGGGGGCUGCUCCUAGUACGAGAGGACCGGAGUGGACGCAUCACUGGUGUUCGGGUUGUCAUGCCAAUGGCACUGCCCGGUAGCUAAAUGCGGAAGAGAUAAGUGCUGAAAGCAUCUAAGCACGAAACUUGCCCCGAGAUGAGUUCUCCCUGAGACUUAGAGUCUCCUGAAGGAACGUUGAAGACGACGACGUUGAUAGGCCGGGUGUGUAAGCGCAGCGAUGCGUUGAGCUAACCGGUACUAAUGAACCGUGAGGCUUAACCUU